CCAUGGGAUGAGCUGUGGAUAGCGGAGAAAUUCCAAUCGAACUCGGAGAUAGCUGGUUCUCCUCGAAAUAGCUUUAGGGCUAGCGUCGGGUAAUUGAGUAGUGGAGGUAGAGCACUGAAUGGGCUAGGGGCUGACAACAGUUACUGAACCCUAUCAAACUCCGAAUGCCAUAUACUUGUACCCCGGCAGUCAGACUACGAAUGAUAAGAUCCGUGGUCAAAAGGGAAACAGCCCAGACCAUCAGCUAAGGUCCCAAAGUGUAAGUUAAGUGGGAAAGGAUGUGGGAUUUCUAAGACAACUAGGAUGUUGGCUUAGAAGCAGCCACUCAUUUAAAGAGUGCGUAAUAGCUCACUAGUCGAGAGAUCCUGCGCCGAAGAUGUAACGGGGCUCAAACUUACCACCGAAGCUAUGGAUGUGUACUAUGUACACGUGGUAGAGGAGCUUUCUGUACAGGUUGAAGUCAUACCGUAAGGAGUGGUGGACAGUACAGAAGUGAGAAUGCUGGCAUAAGUAGCGAAAAACAAGUGAGAAUCUUGUUGACCGAAUAUCUAAGGUUUCCUGGG
rnacentral:rRNA from 1 species